rnacentral:rRNA from 1 species
UGGGGAAUAUUGCACAAUGGGCGAAAGCCUGAUGCAGCGACGCCGCGUGCGGGAUGAAGGCCUUCGGGUUGUAAACCGCUUUUAAUUGGGAGCAAGCGAGAGUGAGUGUACCUUUUGAAUAAGCACCGGCUAACUACGUGCCAGCAGCCGCGGUAAUACGUAGGGUGCAAGCGUUAUCCGGAAUUAUUGGGCGUAAAGAGCUCGUAGGCGGUUUGUCACGCCUGGUGUGAAAGUCCAUCGCUUAACGGUGGAUCUGCGCCGGGUACGGGCAGGCUAGAGUGCAGUAGGGGAGAUUGGAAUUCCCGGUGUAACGGUGGAAUGUGUAGAUAUCGGGAAGAACACCAAUGGCGAAGGCAGAUCUCUGGGCUGUUACUGACGCUGAGGAGCGAAAGCAUGGGGAGCGAACAGGAUUAGAUACCCUGGUAGUCCAUGCCGUAAACGGUGGAUGCUGGAUGUGGGACCCUUCCACGGGU